UACGAAGGGGGCUAGCGUUGCUCGGAAUUACUGGGCGUAAAGGGCGCGUAGGCGGCGGUAGUAGUCAGGCGUGAAAUUCCUGGGCUUAACCUGGGGGCUGCGCUUGAUACGCUAUUGCUAGAGGAUGGAAGAGGCUCGUGGAAUUCCCAGUGUAGAGGUGAAAUUCGUAGAUAUUGGGAAGAACACCGGUGGCGAAGGCGGCGAGCUGGUCCAUUACUGACGCUGAGGCGCGACAGCGUGGGGAGCAAACAGG
rnacentral:rRNA from 1 species